rnacentral:rRNA from 1 species
UACGUAGGGUGCAAGCGUUAAUCGGAAUUACUGGGCGUAAAGCGUGCGCAGGCGGUGAUGUAAGACAGUUGUGAAAUCCCCGGGCUCAACCUGGGAACUGCAUCUGUGACUGCAUCGCUGGAGUGCGGCAGAGGGGGAUGGAAUUCCGCGUGUAGCAGUGAGAUGCGUAGAUAUGCGGAGGAACACCGAUGGCGAAGGCAAUCCCCUGGGCCUGCACUGACGCUCAUGCACGAAAGCGUGGGGAGCAAACAGG